GGCCGACGGGGAAGGGGCG
rnacentral:misc_RNA from 1 species